UCAACUWGUUGGUUAUGUAGUGUAUCACCAUGGUUGCGACGGGUAACGAGGGAUCAGGGUUUGAUUUCGGAGAGGAAGCCUGAGAAACGGCUGCCGCAUCCAAGGAAGACAGCAGGCGCGCAACUUUCCCAAUAUGGACAACAUGAGGAAGUGAAGAGAAGUACUUGGCAGUGUUCUAUGAAUACUGUCCAGGAAUGGACGUAAUGUAAACAAUUCGUUAUGAAUGCAACGCGAGUGCAAGUUUGGUGCCAGCCGACGCGGUAAUACCACCUCGCGUAAUGUACUCUAAAGUUGCUGCAAUUAAAACGCUCGUAGUUGGAUGACAGACCUUUUGGUGGAGCUGACUGUAGAAUUGCCCAUCGCGGUGAUUUCAACUUUCUUGUGCUCUAUCAAGAGGUAUUUUUGUCUGUGCCCUUGGAUUGACCUUUACUGUGUUGAUCCACGAGCUCAGAAAAUGUGCCUUGAGAAAAUCAGAAUGCUCAAAGUAGGCUUUUGCCUGAAUGUUGAUAGCAUGGAACGAACAAUUGUGGCGACGUCAAUUAUUGGAGGGCAAGUAUGCAAAUAUUUGUACCGUCAGUAAUUGACGCCCGUGCUCUGAUACUAGAAUGUUGGUUUGGUGUCGGGGUGUUUGGUUAAAAGGAGUAGUUGGGGGCAUUGGUAUUUGGCAGCUAGAGGUGAAAUUCUUAGACCUGCCAAGGACUGACUGAUGCGAAGGCGUUUGUCCAGACUACAUCAAUUGAUCAAGAACGAAACAGCAGGGUUCGAAGACUAUUAGAUACAGUCCUAGUCUGCUGCGUAAACGAUGCCGACCCGGGAUUAGGUGUGCAGCCAUUUGAGUGCUGUGACUUGGUCCCCCUGAGAAAUCUAGAGUUUUUGGGCUUUGGGGGGAGUAUAUCCGCAAGGAAGAAACUUAAAAGAAUUGACGGAUGGGCACCACAAGAUGUGGAACUUGCGGCUUAAUUCGACUUAACGCGGGGAAUCUYACUCGACCAGGACAACGAGAGGACAGACAGACUGAAGAUCUUUCUCGAUACGUUGGAUGGUGGUGCAUGGCCGUUCUUGGUUCGUGGAGUGAUUUGUGGGGUCGAUUCCUUAAACGAGCGAGACCCUUGUCUCCAUUUGAGGUUUGUUGGAGUGUGCGAAGCAAUUCGUGCUCAGAUAGAGUGUUCUGGUUGACUUGUCAUCUACGAGUGUUCUUCCCGACAAGAGGCUGUACUUGGUGCAAACUGGGUGCAGUAUCAUGGAGAGACGUGUGGGUAUACAAAAAAGCCACAGGAAGCGGGGUCAAAAACAGGUCUGUGAUGCCCUUAGAUGGCCGAGGCAGCACGCGAGUUACAAUGACACUGACAGCGCGUUUCUGCUCCGAGAGGAGUGGGUAACCUCUAGGCAGUGUCGUGAGGAGGAUUGUCCAUUGGAAUUUGGACAUGAAAUAGGAAUAUCUUGUAUGUGCAGCUCACCAGGCUGUACAGAAUGCGUCCCUGCCCAUUGUACACACCGCCCGUCGCUACUACCGAGUGAAUUUUGUCAUGAAGCCCCGGGACCGGACUUUUGGAUUUCCAGAGCUGGAAACAGCGCUGAAUGGCAGAGUUUCGAGGAAGUAAAAGUCGUAACAAGGUAUUCGUAGGUGAACCUGCGAAUGGAUC
rnacentral:rRNA from 1 species